GGGGCCACAGGAAAGGCUCAUAUGGAAGAUAGGCCAUGGCCUCUGCCCACCUCACUCCCCAGCAGAUGAUCAAGUUAUUGCACUUCAAUGAUGUCAGGCUACCCUUCCAAGGAAGGUUCUUGGGAUGGGGCAGAACCUGGGGAGACAGAGAAGGAGGGCAAAAGAAAGACAGAAAUGGAGAGGGAAGAGAGAACAAGCAAGCUGAGCGCAGGAGCUGCUUGGGAAGGGGAGGACAGCAGAAGGGACACAAGGAAAAGGGAGUGGGAUAAAAAGUGCAGGGGAGCAGUGCCAGGGAAGAAGGAAGACAAGAACCAGGGUGAGGGCGGUGGGGAGGAGCAGGAGCAGGAAGGGACAGUUGAUGCAAACCAAGCGCAGUUGCCAGAGCUUCAGGCCUCCCUUCUAAGAGCACGGCCCUUCUGCCCCCUCUCCUUACAGUCUGCAAAUGGUUCGUGGGAAACUUGGGCAGAGGGAGUGGAAUCUGGGAAGCUGAGAGCACAAAGCUGUGGUCCCCAGCACACCCGGCUGCCUCCAGCCCAUGCACCCGCAUCACUCAACAGUGUGUCUCCAGUGCCCAAGAUGUGCCGGCACCUGAAAUGGGGUGACUGCUUCCUUGAAGAUCUGUGUCAUCAACCAGAGUGUCAGGAAUCCUCCACCAUGCGCCGAGUCUGGGUGGAGAAGCCUGUGCCUAAUCUAAAGAUGCUGCCACUUUGA
rnacentral:lncRNA from 13 species